AGAAGAUGUAAAUAAAUGGCUUUUCCUCCCUGGCUGCUUGAAGACCAGCCGCCAUCAUGAAUGACACAGUAACUAUCCGGACCAGGAAGUUCAUGACCAACCAACUACUUCAGCGGAAACAAAUGGUCAUUGAUGUCCUUCACCCUGGGAAGGCAACAGUACCUACAACAGAAAUUCGGGAAAAACUAGCCAAAAUGUACAAGACCACGCCAAAUGUCAUCUUUGUAUUCGGAUUCAGAACUCAUUUUGGUGGCAGCAAGACAACUGGUUUUGGCAUGAUUUACGAUUCCUUUGAUUAUGCGAAGAAAAAAUGAACCCAAACACAGGCUUGCAAGACAUGGCCUAUACGAGAAGAAAAAGACCUCAAGGAAACAGGGCAAGGAAUGGAAGAAAAGGAUGAAGAAAGUCAGGGGGACUGCAAAGGCCAAUGUUGGUGCUGGCAAAAAGAAGGAGUAAAGAUUCUGCAGUGACUGUAUCUGUGGUGAUUGUGCAGAUUUUUCAUGAGAGGAUUAAUAAACUAAGAACUUUAA